UGCCUCCCUCCAUGCAUUAUUGAAGCAGCUUCGACCUAGGGCUUGGCAAUUGCUACUUAACUACUCCAUUAAACUCGCAAGGCUCCCCCUCCAUUAAACGCACAAGGCUGCCCCUCCACAAAUGCUAAGAAAUGGGUGUCAAGGGCUUCUAGGGUAAGAUCAUCAGUUUGGAGAGUGGGCGGAAAGCAUCCUGGUAUCUUACUCUGACUGUCCUUGUUCUUGCUCACUAAUA